rnacentral:rRNA from 1 species
AGUGAACGCUGGCGGCAGGCCUAAUACAUGCAAGUCGAACGGCAGCACAGCAGAGCUUGCUCUGUGGGUGGCGAGUGGCGGACGGGUGAGGAAUACAUGGGAAUCUGCCCAGUCGUGGGGGAUAACGUAUGGAAACGUACGCUAAUACCGCAUGCGCCCUACGGGGGAAAGCCGGGGACCGAAAGGCCUGGCGCGAUUGGAUGAGCCCAUGUUCGAUUAGCUAGUUGGCGGGGUAAAGGCCCACCAAGGCGACGAUCGAUAGCUGGUCUGAGAGGAUGAUCAGCCACACUGGAACUGAGACACGGUCCAGACUCCUACGGGAGGCAGCAGUAGGGGAAUAUUGGACAAUGGGGGCAACCCUGAUCCACCAUGCCGCGUGAGUGAAGAAGGCCCUCGGGUUGUAAAGCUCUUUUGUCCGGAAAGAAAAGCAUUCGGUUAAUACCCGGGUGUUCUGACGGUACCGGAAGAAUAAGCACCGGCUAACUUCGUGCCAGC